rfam:Clostridium sp. CAG:253 genomic scaffold, scf224
AACAGAGUAGGAAGUCAUGCGUUAAGUACCAAAGGAUGGGAAGUUGUCUUUGGGCGAAAAGAAUAUAGUUCUUGCGGUAUGGCUUUCGCAUCCACUGUC